UCUGGCGGCAGUAGCGCGGUGGUCCCACCUGACCCCAUGCCGAACUCAGAAGUGAAACGCCGUAGCGCCGAUGGUAGUGUGGGGUCUCCCCAUGCGAGAGUAGGGAACUGCCA
rnacentral:rRNA from 1 species